AGCGAACGCUGGCGGCAGGCUUAACACAUGCAAGUCGAACGCCCCGCAAGGGGAGUGGCAGACGGGUGAGUAACACGUGGGAACGUACCCUUUGGUUCGGAAUAACUUGGGGAAACUCAAGCUAAUACCGGAUAAGCCCUUAUGGGGAAAGGUUUACUGCCGAAGGAUCGGCCCGCGUCUGAUUAGCUAGUUGGUGAGGUAAUGGCUAACCAAGGCGACGAUCAGUAGCUGGUCUGAGCGGAUGAUCAGCCACACUGGGACUGAGACACGGCCCAGACUCCUACGGGAGGCAGCAGUGGGGAAUAUUGGACAAUGGGGGCAACCCUGAUCCAGCCAUGCCGCGUGAGUGAUGAAGGCCUUAGGGUUGUAAAGCUCUUUUACCCGGGACGAUAAUGACUGUACCGGGAGAAUAAGCCCCGGCUAACUUCGUGCCAGCCGCCGCAGUAA
rnacentral:rRNA from 1 species